rnacentral:rRNA from 1 species
ACGGAAGGCAGCAGUGGGGAAUAUUGGACAAUGGGGGAAACCCUGAUCCAGCGACGCCGCGUGAGUGAAGAAGUAUUUCGGUAUGUAAAGCUCUAUCAGCAAGGAAGAAAAUGACGGUACUUGACUAAGAAGCUCCGGCUAAAUACGUGCCAGCAGCCGCGGUAAUACGUAUGGAGCAAGCGUUAUCCGGAUUUACUGGGUGUAAAGGGAGCGUAGACGGUAAAGCAAGUCUGAAGUGAAAUCCCGGGGCUCAACCCCGGAACUGCUUUGGAAACUGUUUAACUAGAAUGCAGGAGAGGUAAGCGGAAUUCCUAGUGUAGCGGUGAAAUGCGUAGAUAUUAGGAGGAACACCAGUGGCGAAGGCGGCUUACUGGACUGUAACUGACGUUGAGGCUCGAAAGCGUGGGGAGCAAACAGGAUUAGAUACCCUGGUA